GAUGAACGCUGGCGGCGUGCUUAACACAUGCAAGUCGAACGAUGAAGCCCAGCUUGCUGGGUGGAUUAGUGGCGAACGGGUGAGUAACACGUGAGUAACCUGCCCUUAACUCUGGGAUAAGCCUGGGAAACUGGGUCUAAUACCGGAUAGGAGCGUCCACCGCAUGGUGGGUGUUGGAAAGAUUUAUCGGUUUUGGAUGGACUCGCGGCCUAUCAGCUUGUUGGUGAGGUAAUGGCUCACCAAGGCGACGACGGGUAGCCGGCCUGAGAGGGUGACCGGCCACACUGGGACUGAGGCACGGCGCAGACUCCUACGGGAGGCAGCAGUGGGGAAUAUUGCGCAGUGGGCGCAAGCCUGAUGCAGCGACGCCGCGUGAGGGAUGACGGCCUUCGGGUUGUAAACCUCUUUCAGUAGGGAAGAAGCGAAAGUGACGGUACCUGCAGAAGAAGCACCGGCUAACUACGUG
rnacentral:rRNA from 1 species